CACGGCAAGCACAGAAGAAAAAAGCACUACUGUUGCAUCUGGCGGGUCUCGAAGUGCAAGAAAUAUUUUUUUGACGACCCAGAACAUGAUGAUGUUCCCCCGGAGGGAUCCGAUGUGUAUCAAGAAACAGUUCGAAUAUUGGAUGCGCAUUUCCAAACUAUCGUGUGUGUUCCUCAUGAAAGAGCCGUUUUUCGCCGGCUGAAACAAAACGAUGGUGAAAACAUUGUUAAAUUUGCACAACGUUUACGGCACCAGGGAAACUUAUGUGAUUACGGUGGUGCGUUAGAUAUGAGAAUAACAGAACAGAUUUUCGAUGGAAGUACUUCGAACGACCUCAGAGAAGCGAUUUUAAAAAAACGCUUGAUGGAUUUGAAAGACAUAGUCGAGGAAGGACGUAUUCUGGAAACCAUCAACCAGAAUCCAAAAGAAGCCAUGCCUGUGGUUGCGAUAGAAGGAAGUAGUAGUAGUGCGAGUGUAAACAAAAUCGCGAGUGAUAAAAAUCGAUGUUUUCGCUGUGGCUCAUUUGACCAUUACGCUAAUGAUAAAAAGUGCCCCGCGAGGAAAAAACCUUGCUUGAGAUGUGGGAUUGCUGGACACUAUCGUGAGUUCUGUAAAACAAAACGAGCCAUGGGGAAAACAAAGAACAAAGUGCGUCAAGUGGACGAAACAAGUGAUGGACAAGAAAGUGAAAAGGAAAAUGAAAGUGAUAGCGACGAUGAAGUGGCGCAUAUUUUUUCAACAAUAACUAAAAGUGAUAAAAGUGAAAUGUCCCAAAAGCAGGAUAAAUACAACACCAAAGUGGAAUGCCUCGUUGGAGGAAUUAAACUUCGUUGAAUGAUUGAUUCUGGGGCGUCGGUCAACGUCAUCGAUGAAACGACGUGGGAAAUGCUGAAAUCCAAAGGGUGCAAAGUUUGUUUCGAAUCAAAUGAAUCCCGGAAACGACUGUUUGCGUAUGGCAACCACAAACUACAGGUUAAAGGAGUGUUCAAGGCUGACAUUAAUCAUGGUUCCAGAACGGUACAUCGAGAAAUCUUCGUCAUCAGAGGACAGGGCGCGAACCUCCUUGGAAGGAAUACUUCGAUCGAUUUGGGUGUUCUACAGUUACAUCCAGACUCGUUAAUGCAGAAAAAUGGCGAAAAAGUUCAAAAGCUCGGAAAAGCAAGAAAUUGGAGCAUAAGUCUCAACAUAGAUAAGAAAGUGAGGCCCAUCCAACAAUCUUGUCGCAGAUUGCCGAUUCCUUUGCAAGGUGCUGUUGAAGCCGAGUUACAGAAACUAUUAAAGGAAGGUAUCAUCGAGCCCGCUCCUCCUAAAAUCACAUGGUUGGUGGUCACACCCAAGAACGAAGGUCAGAACGUGCGCCUGUGCGUAGAUAUGCGGAAGGCGAACAGUGCUGUAAUACCCGACAGACAUCCGUUACCUACUUUUGACGAGAUAAUGCCCCACCUCGAUGGAUGGAACAGGCUUCUGACUGUGAUGCUGAAAUUAGUUAGUCCCAGAAAUUGGUCGCCCGAAAAUGGUCCUCGCAUCCGGUUUCCAGCUGGUGACAUGCUUGCGGUCCCCGGUUACACACAGGCAGGAUGGUCGGCCCUUAAUUGAUAUUGGAGACCUAGACCGACAAUCUUUUACACAUCCUGAACAAUUCAGAAGGAAAAUCCCGACAAAGACUCCCGGAGAUUGAUGAUCCGACUUCCAAUUUCCGUUAUGCAAGGACGAGAAAGAACGGUAUUCAUCGUUAUGAAAUUAUCAUCUUCUUACCAGUCCGACAUCUUAACCAGUGUACUGUUCGAACUUCAUGAAAUUAUCAUGCCGAAAUCAAAAAUAAAUAU